rnacentral:rRNA from 1 species
UACAGAGGGUGCGAGCGUUAAUCGGAAUUACUGGGCGUAAAGCGUGCGUAGACGGUUAUGUAAGUCGGGUGUGAAAGCCCCGGGCUCAACCUGGGAAUUGCAUUCGAGACUGUGUAGCUAGGGUGCGGAAGAGGGAAGCGGAAUUUCCGGUGUAGCGGUGAAAUGCGUAGAUAUCGGAAGGAACACCAGUGGCGAAAGCGACUUCCUGGUCGAAUACUGACGUUCAUGUGCGAAAGCGUGGGGAGCAAACAG